AACGAGCGCUGGCGGCAGGCUUAACACAUGCAAGUCGAACGCAUCCUUCGGGGUGGGUGGCAGACGGGUGAGUAACGCGUGGGAACGUGCCCUUCAGUUCGGGAUAACCCAGGGAAACUUGGGCUAAUACCGGAUACGUGCGAGAGCAGAAAGAUUUAUCGCUGAAGGAUCGGCCCGCGUCUGAUUAGCUAGUUGGUGGGGUAAUGGCCCACCAAGGCGACGAUCAGUAGCUGGUCUGAGAGGAUGAUCAGCCACAUUGGGACUGAGACACGGCCCAAACUCCUACGGGAGGCAGCAGUGGGGAAUAUUGGACAAUGGGCGCAAGCCUGAUCCAGCCAUGCCGCGUGAGUGAUGAAGGCCUUAGGGUUGUAAAGCUCUUUCGUCCGGGACGAUAAUGACGGUACCGGAAGAAGAAGCCCCGGCUAACUUCGUGCCAGCCGCCGCAGUAACAC
rnacentral:rRNA from 1 species